UGUUGUAUUAAUUUCUUUUAGCGCCUAUAUUUUUUUUAAAAUUCAUUUGUACUCGUAAUUUUUUAAUCUUUUAUCUAUACCCUAAUUUAUUUACAAUGUACCCAUUCUUCUUUAUUAAUGUAUCACUUUGUUAUAUGUGAAAUGUACCAAUUUUUUUGUAAAAUGUGCCAAUAAUUUUAACACUAUGGAUACAUUUGUUUGCCAUUUAUUAUUUCUUAUUUUUACAUAGUUUUUAUCCAUUUAUUCAAUCAAAAUGUUUGAAUUUUUUUAUUGUAACCGUUUAUAAUAGUAUUAUAAUGAGGGAUUUUAAAUUUAUAGGAUUAUAAAUCUCAUAAAAUAUCAAACGAUUAAUGUCAAAACUAUAAAAAUAUAAAUAUUAAUUGUAAUAUAAUGAGGUGUACAAAGGACUUUGAUCAAACUUUGAAUACCAUUAAGGUUUUAGUCAAAGAAUGUUAAGGAUUAGGGACCGCAUCCAAAGUAUCCCUUGAAAAUUAGUCUAGUCUGAUCUUGUAUCUAGUCUAGUCUCAUGUUUGUUGCUCGGCAGAAUUAACAUUAAUGGGAUAAAAGAGGACUCGCCUCGACUAAGGACCGCGCUAGGCGGUCUUAGCAAGGCCCCCCACAUACCAUGGGACUAGCUAAGAACUAGCUUUGUCCUCCUAGCGUCACUUCCUGCUCCAUCUGUUGAGAGUUGUUCCACAUCGCUGAAGGACAAGGUUUGCUAUGUGCUUAUAUAGUCUUGGGCUACUCCCUAUAUUGCCAAUUGGUUUUAUAGUGGACGCUCAAUUUUAUCAUGGUAUCAGAACGGGUUGUCCUCGUGUGAAGUCAAAAGGCCAAAUUCACUCCACAUCACCCUGUUGUUGUCCACAUGUAGGCUUGAAAAUCUGCCACAUGUGCGGAUGCGUGUUGAGAGUUGUCCCACAUCAGUGAGAGGCAAGGUUUACUAUGUGCUUAUAUGAUCUUGGGCUACUCCUUAUAUUGCCAAUUGGUUUUAUGGUGGAACCCCAAUUUCAUCAUGGUAUUAGAGGGGGUUGUCCUCGUGUGAAGCCAAACGGCCACACGCGCUCCA
rnacentral:lncRNA from 1 species